rnacentral:rRNA from 1 species
GCAGGCUGCAACUCGCCUGCAUGAAGUUGGAAUUGCUAGUAAUCGCGAAUCAGAAUGUCGCGGUGAAUACGUUCCCGGGCCUUGUACACACCGCCCGUCACACCAUGAGAGCCGAUAACACCCGAAGCCUGUGAGCUAACCGUAAGGGGGCAGCAGUCGAAGGUGGGGUUGGUGAUUGGGGUGAAGUCGUAACAAGGUACC